rnacentral:rRNA from 1 species
AACGAACGCUGGCGGCAUGCCUAACACAUGCAAGUCGAACGAAGUCUUCGGACUUAGUGGCGCACGGGUGCGUAACGCGUGGGAAUCUGCCCUUGGGUGCGGAAUAACUUCUCGAAAGGGAUGCUAAUACCGCAUAAUGUCGUAAGACCAAAGAUUUACCGCCCAAGGAUGAGCCCGCGUAAGAUUAGCUAGUUGGUGGGGUAAAAGCCUACCAAGGCGACGAUCUUUAGCUGGUCUGAGAGGAUGAUCAGCCACACUGGGACUGAGACACGGCCCAGACUCCUACGGGAGGCAGCAGUGGGGAAUAUUGGACAAUGGGCGAAAGCCUGAUCCAGCAAUGCCGCGUGAGUGAUGAAGGCCCUAGGGUUGUAAAGCUCUUUUACCAGGGAUGAUAAUGACAGUACCUGGAGAAUAAGCUCCGGCUAACUCCGUAGCCAGCACGCCGACGGUAAUCU